rnacentral:rRNA from 1 species
AGAGUUAAAUAGUACGUGAAAUUGUUGAAAGGGAAACGAUUGAAGUCAGUCAUGCUAGUGAAAAUUCAGUUUGGUGGGUUUUGGGUCAGGAGUUGAGGCAGGGUCAAACCGUUUCUCUUUUGGACUUGAGAUUUGUUAGAUGUACUUUUUCUUUGGCAGGUCAACGUCGGUUUCGGGGGUUGUAAAAUACUUGGGGGAAAGUAGCUCUGCUUCGGGAGAGUGUUAUAGACCCUGGGAGAUGCAGCCUGUGGGAUCGAGGAUUGCAGCAAAUGCCUUUUGGCUUGUCGCCUGUUCCUGGGUGUUACCUGUCUUGUGACAACAUUCUUGCCACCGGGGAGUACUAAUGCCUACUGUUUAGAGCGAUCGAAAAUUUUGCUAAGGAUGUUGACGUAAUGGCUUUAAACGACC